UACGUAGGGGGCGAGCGUUGUCCGGAGUUACUGGGCGUAAAGGGCAUGCAGGCGGUCCGACACGUUUGUGUGACAGCGGGUGGCUUAACUACCCGAGGAUACGAAAGACGGUUGGACUUGAGGACUCGAGAGGGACACGGAAUUCCGGGUGGAGUGGUGAAAUGCGUAGAGAUCCGGAGGAACACCGAAGGCGAAGGCAGUGUCCUGGCGAGUGACUGACGCUGAGGUGCGAAAGCCAGGGGAGCGAACGGG
rnacentral:rRNA from 1 species